rnacentral:rRNA from 1 species
GAUGAACGCUGGCGGCGUGCCUAACACAUGCAAGUCGAGCGAUUCUCUUCGGAGAAGAGCGGCGGACGGGUGAGUAACGCGUGGGUAACCUGCCCUGUACACACGGAUAACAUACCGAAAGGUAUGCUAAUACGAGAUAAUAUGCUUUUAUCGCAUGGUAGAAGUAUCAAAGCUCCGGCGGUACAGGACGGACCCGCGUCUGAUUAGCUAGUUGGUAAGGUAACGGCUUACCAAGGCGACGAUCAGUAGCCGACCUGAGAGGGUGAUCGGCCACAUUGGAACUGAGACACGGUCCAAACUACUACGGGAGGCAGCAGUGGGGAAUAUUGCACAAUGGGCGAAAGCCUGAUGCAGCAACGCCGCGUGAGCGACGAAGGCCUUCGGGUCGUAAAGCUCUGUCCUCAAGGAAGAUAAUGACGGUACUUGAGGAGGAAGCCCCGGCUAACUACGUGCCAGCAGCCGCCGUAA